AUUGAACGCUGGCGGCAGGCCUAACACAUGCAAGUCGAGCGGGGUUUUCGGACCUAGCGGCGGACGGGUGAGUAAUGCGUAGGAAGCUGCCCGAUAGAGGGGGAUACCAGUUGGAAACGACUGUUAAUACCGCAUAAUGUCUACGGACCAAAGUGUGGGACCUUCAGGCCACAUGCUAUCGGAUGCGCCUACGUGGGAUUAGCUAGUUGGUGAGGUAAUGGCUCACCAAGGCGACGAUCUCUAGCUGGUUUGAGAGGAUGAUCAGCCACACUGGAACUGAGACACGGUCCAAACUCCUACGGGAGGCAGCAGUGGGGAGUAUUGGACAAUGGGCGCAAGCCUGAUCCAGCCAUGCCGCGUGUGUGAAGAAGGCCUUCGGGUUGUAAAGCACUUUCAGCGAGGAGGAAGGGUUAGUCGUUAAUAGCGGCUAAUUUUGACGUUACUCGCAGAAUAAGCACCGGCUAACUCUGUGCCAGCCGCCGCGGUAAAAC
rnacentral:rRNA from 1 species